UACGUAGGGACCAAGCGUUGUUCGGAUUUACUGGGCGUAAAGGGCGCGUAGGCGGCAAUUCAAGUCAGUUGUGAAAUCUCCGAGCUUAACUCGGAACGGUCAACUGAUACUGUUUUGCUAGAGUACAGAAGGGGCAAUCGGAAUUCCUGGUGUAGCGGUGGAAUGCGCAGAUAUCAGGAGGAACACCCGUGGCGAAGGCGGCUCUCUGGGACGGUACUGACACUGAGACGCGAAAGCGUGGGGAGCCGAACAGG
rnacentral:rRNA from 1 species